rnacentral:rRNA from 1 species
GAUGAACGCUGGCGGCGUGCCUAAUACAUGCAAGUCGAGCGAACAGACGAGGAGCUUGCUCCUCUGACGUUAGCGGCGGACGGGUGAGUAACACGUGGAUAACCUACCUAUAAGACUGGGAUAACUUCGGGAAACCGGAGCUAAUACCGGAUAAUAUAUUGAACCGCAUGGUUCAAUAGUGAAAGACGGUUUUGCUGUCACUUAUAGAUGGAUCCGCGCCGCAUUAGCUAGUUGGUAAGGUAACGGCUUACCAAGGCAACGAUGCGUAGCCGACCUGAGAGGGGGAUCGGCCACACAGGAAGUGAAACGCGUUCCAGCCCCCUACGGGAGGCAGCAGGGGGUAAUCUUCCGCAAGGGGCGAAAGCCUGACGGAGCAACGGCGGGGGGAUGAUGAAGGGCUUCGGUCCGAAAAACUCUUUUAUUAGGAGAAAAAAAAUGUGUAAGAAACAAUGCACGUUUUGACGGUACCGAACAAGAAGGCCCCGGCUAACUACGU